GCGGCUUUAGUGUAGUGGUCAUCACGGUUCGUUGUGGCCGAGCAGACGGAUGUUCGAUUCCUCCAAGCCGCA
rnacentral:tRNA from 1 species